GAUUAUGUGGAGCGUGAAGAGUUAAUCACCCUCAUCUUUGCAUAUUCGUGCACUUUGGGUGUACUUGCUCGUGUGGUAGGUUAACAUCAAUUUUGAUCGUCAUAAAAUGGUUGGAGGAAUGUAGCUUCGAUCUUGUAUUGAAGUGUUAUAGCCUUCGGCAGAUGUGAUGAUUGGGAUUGAGGAUUGCAACGGAUACCCUUCGGGGCUACCUGUCUGAUCUCUGAUCGUUACUCUGGUGCCGAAAGCUUGCUUACGGUCAUCAAAGUUGAUGGUCAAUAGGUUAGAACGGGUUAAAUUCGUUAAGGAUGUUGACGUA
rnacentral:rRNA from 1 species